rnacentral:rRNA from 1 species
UUGACUGUGCUAAGGUAGCAUAAUAAAUUGGCUUUUAAUUGAAGUCGGGAAUGAAAGGGUGUUUGGAGUUAUUCUGUCUUAUUUUUAUUUUUUAAAAGUUACUAAUGAGGUGAAAAUUCCUCAAUGUUACUUGAUAGACGAGAAGACCCUAAGAAUUAUUACAAUUAUUAAAGUAAAUUAAUAAAAGUUUUUGUUGGGGCAACAGCUUUGAAUAACCAAAGUUAAAAUUUACUAUAAAAAGAUUAUUUUAAAAACGGAUUUAAUUACCUUAGGGAUAACAGCAUAAUUAUAUUUUAGAUUGUGACCUCGAUGUUGGAUUAAGGCCU